AUUGAACGCUGGCGGCAUGCCUUACACAUGCAAGUCGAACGGCAGCGGGGGAGAAGCUUGCUUUUCCUGCCGGCGAGCGGCGAACGGGUGAGUAAUACAUCGGAACGUGCCCUGUAGUGGGGGAUAACUAGUCGAAAGAUUAGCUAAUACCGCAUACGACCUGAGGGUGAAAGUGGGGGACCGCAAGGCCUCAUGCUAUAGGAGCGGCCGAUGGCUGAUUAGCUAGUUGGUGGGGUAAAGGCCUACCAAGGCGACGAUCAGUAGCUGGUCUGAGAGGACGAUCAGCCACACUGGGACUGAGACACGGCCCCGACUCCUACGGGAGGCAGCAGUGGGGAAUUUUGGACAAUGGGCGAAAGCCUGAUCCAGCAAUGCCGCGUGUGUGAAGAAGGCCUUCGGGUUGUAAAGCACUUUUGUCCGGAAAGAAAUGGCUCUGGUUAAUACCUGGGGUCGAUGACGGUACCGGAAGAAUAAGGACCGGCUAACUACGUGCCAGCAGCCGCCGUAA
rnacentral:rRNA from 1 species